UACGUAGGGUGCAAGCGUUGUCCGGAAUUAUUGGGCGUAAAGAGCUCGUAGGCGGCUUGUCGCGUCGACUGUGAAAACCCGCGGCUCAACUGUGGGCUUGCAGUCGAUACGGGCAGACUAGAGUGCGGUAGGGGAGACUGGAAUUCCUGGUGUAGCGGUGAAAUGCGCAGAUAUCAGGAGGAACACCGGUGGCGAAGGCGGGUCUCUGGGCCGUAACUGACGCUGAGGAGCGAAAGCGUGGGGAGCGAACAGG
rnacentral:rRNA from 1 species